AAAACCCAUCUUGAUUUAACUGAAGUUUCCAGUAGGAGGAAAUAUGUUUUCAAGAUCUUUCAAGCUUUUUGAUUAAGAUUGCUUAUUAGUAAUCACAUUUAUAAUAACUUAAAUUGCUUUAGGUGUUCUCACUAUAAACAACUAGUACACAAGAUAAUGGAUAAGCCAACUAGCUUGACGCAAUUAUUUCUCAGUAGAUCAAUAUAUUUCAUUAUACCUAUGAAUAAAUAGCAUUUUUAUUUGUCAAUUUAAAAACAAACAUGUAAGUUAAAAAGCCCACUAUCCUAUGGACUAGGUCCUACCUAGGACCUAUACUUACUGGCCUUAUGACUCUGGCAAAUUCAGACAUUGUAGUUCUUAUAUGUGGCCUGACUCAUUAGCUUUGCCUUGAAGAGUGUUGUCCUGGUCUAGGAUUCACCAGACCAAAAAAAAAAAAAAAAAUUCUAGCUGCAUAUGGGAACGGUAACACACACAAGGUGAUGUUUCUACGUGUGCAUGAGUCCACAGGCACCGUUACAUACUUGUGCUGUGUAUGUGAAUGUGUUUUGUAUUUAUAAGAUGUUACACACAUAUACAUGUAUGCAUACCAUACAUGCACACAACAUGUACAUACAUAUAAAACCUAUACAGUGCAUGCACACACACAUACACACAUAUAUGCAUGUACUUACACGUCUAUGCAGUGUAUAUGUAUAGCACGUCUAUGCAAUGCUCAUAUACAUAGUGCAUGCAUAUAUAAUAUACAAAAUGAAAAAUUAUGCAGUCCGAGUACAUGCACACCAUACAUAUAUAGGUAUAAACAUUGUUAGUGAGCAGAUCUAAGCAGCUUUGCUGGUUGCUAAGGAACACGUUAAGAGUGUUGUUGCUCUUUAGGUUAGAUGGCCCCCCUAAUAUUGUAAGCAGAAAGAAAGCAGACUGGAUGUCACCCAGAAUUCACUGUGGUAAAGGAAGAACUCCCUAGCUCGCUGUCACCUGUAUAUCAUUUGCAAAGUUGUGUUGUGCCAUAGCUAUGUGACCCUGUUCCACCAAUAGCAUACCACUACUUGUGGAGAGCUGUGGAACCAUGCGGAACUCCUGUGGAGAAGGCCCAAGUCAGGAGUUUUGUGAGCUACUGGCCUGGAGACCCUUGACUAGGCGCCUCGAAUCCUGGAGCUGAGUGUAACACACUCUCCUUUUCCUCAGAGCUGUUAGAACUGUUGUUUAUUUCCUGGUAGUUCGUGUGUGCCAGUCAUAGCAGGAAGUAACAAAAGCAUUGCAUUAGUCCCUCGCUGUACGUUCAACUAGAAAAGUAUUAAGGAAAGCCCUAGAAGGCAUCUCUCAGAUCUCUGUAAGUUCACCACUAUACCUCACUGGCCAUACCUAUCAGCAGUUCACUUUUUUACUUGGGUACCCAUCACUUACAGUGUAUACAAAUCCCCACAGCUUGGUGAUGCCCUAAAUAGUCAGUGCCUAUAGUAACUCCUUGGUUUGGGGUAAUUCAGGAAUUCAGUGAUGCACAAACCGCAGGAGCUCCCUUGAACUGUGUCAGGGGCUGGCGCCAGACCUGGGCCUGGGAUAGAAAGAAACCUGAGGGUGUUAAAAGUGCCCUUCUGAGGGUACGACUUCUCUGUAGCUUGCAUUCUGUUUGACGGGGCUCUCUGCUGUGUGUGUGUGUGUGUGUGUGUGUGUGUGUGUGUGUGUGUGUGUGUGUGUGUCUUGGUUGCCAGGACAACAGUAAUGAUUUCACAGAGCUUUGAGGAACUUCUGUAAGGAAGAGUUAGGUAUGCUAAAAGAUCACAGAAGCUGUUUAAGGUUUACAUAUAAACACAUAGAUUAACUUGUAUGUAUUUUGUCUUCAUUCAUUCAGGAGCCUAUGUGUAUAUGUGUGAGUAUGUUUGCAUCUCUCUGUGUAUAUGUGCGUGCAUGUACACGCACGCAUGUGUGUGUUUUUCUUUUAUUUCAGGCUGCCUGUAGAAAAAUGCUGAUUCAUAGAGUUAUUAUUUUUUGCUUUCUCUUUGUGUGCCAUUUCUGAGUUUAUUUUGUACAACCACCUUGAAUUUAGUCUCUCUACAUAAAUCUUUAUGAGUUCCUUUUCUACACGUAUGUUGCUUCAUUUCAUGCUAAUGAAAGUCAGGCUUGUCCCAACGAAUUGAAAGCAAUGUAAGUAAUGCCAUAGAAUUCUCAAGUACAUUUCUCCUGGUUCUUAAUAUAUUUUUAAUUGCACUGGUAAGUUUUGGAUGUAUGUGCAAGGGUGCUAGAAGAUGCAUGGGCAUUCCAGAGACCAUCCGGCUCAUCUUGUCACCACCCUGUCACUCAGCUUAGAACCUUAGGAAGAUUCUCUCAUUAUGAAAAUAGCAAGUUGAAGGGGUGGGGGACAGAUAGCCAAAUGGAUAUAGUGUGCUGGCUCUGUAAGGCUGGGGACCAGUGUUCUGACACCUAGACCCAACUACACACCUGAUGAGUGAGCAGCCUGUGGGUGAUUCCAACACUUGGAAAGCAGGGGUGGAGUGGGGUGGGAGGGGUGGUCCCUGGAGCAAGCUGGCUAGUUAGAGUGGAAGUAUAGGAGAUCCGGCUUCAACUGCUAGACCCUAGCUCAAAGAAUAAGAUAGAGAGCCAUCUAGGAAUUCCGUGGUUUUCAAUGUCUAGUCUCCACAGGUGUGCAUACUUGACCUAUACAUCAGAGAGAGAGACAGAGACAGAGAGAGACACAGACAGACACACAGACACAGACACACACGCGCGCACGCGUGCGCGCACACACACACACACACACACACACACACACACACGUUCUUUGUAAAAAAAAAUGGAAAUAAAGUUUAAUUUUGUAGGCCUGGAAAAGACGUCGUGCCUUUGUGAGUGGAGAUGGUCUAUUCAUUGAAUGCUUCUCAUAUAGCAGGCAGCAUGGUUUCCUCAUUGUAAUUCUAUGCCAAUAGCUUGAUGCUUCUCUUUUCGGGAUUCGAAUCCAUCUUGCAUCCUCCCAGCAAGCCGGGUAGCACACCCUGACUGUCUGUGUUAAGCCUGUAUCCCACCCAAGGUUUAGAGUAUCAUAGAAACUACAUAGAAUCACAGCACUGUGGAAAUUUUGGGAGACUGCAUUAUUUAUUGAAACACUCUGUGACGUUAAAUACUUUUGUAAAUAUACAGAAAGUUCAUGAGACUAAGAAACCUCACCCAGGCCACACAGGAGGUUCUCAGUAACUAUUUUCUUGUUUAUUUGAGUGACUUUAUUUAUAAC
rnacentral:lncRNA from 1 species